ensembl:miRNA Mir3542 microRNA 3542
CCUGAAGAAAUCGAGAACUAUGGUAGGGAGAGUGGGGCAUUGGAGCUGCACAGAGGAGGGUCAGGCCUCUGGGUGGUAGAACCAAGGCUCUUCUUUCCUUGCAGUGCACCGAAUCGG